GUCAUUAAUCUAUCGAAUCUUUAAAAAUGCAACAAUUUAUUUAAUAUACAGAAUCGACAUUAAACUAGGGUGUUUGGACUACAGUAAGCAAAAUGUCUGAUAUGAUAAUAAAUGAUUCUGUGCCUGUAGACAAAAAAUGGAGUGAACUAAUAAGAUAUAAUAUAUUUAUUAUGAAACUUGUGGAAUUUGUAAUAUCCCUUGUAAUAACAUUAUUACCAAUGGUUAUUCCAAAGCCGCAAGGUCAUAUGUACUGCAUAUCAACAGGACCUACAUUAGUCAUAUCAUUUUUAUUUAUAAUAUUAUAUUUCCGAAAAAAAGUACCCCUUUUUAUGGAAAAAAUGUAUUUGUUUUUUCAAAUACUGUUUACAUUUGGAGCAUUUAUACAAUGCUUUUUAUUAAAUCUGGUAAGAGUAUGGUUAUGGUUAAUAUACGGAAUAUUUUAUUUUGCACUUUUGACCGCAUUAUCACUGGAUCUUUAUCUCAUUGCGAAUGAAAGGGGAUGUACUUUUAGUUGUGCAUAAUUGUAAUUGAUAUAAACCUUUAUUGUAAAUAUCUUGAACUUAUAACUAUCAAAAUAAAAUUGUAA